rnacentral:rRNA from 1 species
UAAUUGAAGAGUUUGAUCAUGGCUCAGAUUGAACGCUGGCGGCAGGCUUAACACAUGCAAGUCGAGCGGUAGCACAGGGGAGCUUGCUCCCUCGGGUGACGAGCGGCGGACGGGUGAGUAAUGUCUGGGAAACUGCCUGAUGGAGGGGGAUAACUACUGGAAACGGUAGCUAAUACCGCAUAACGUCGCAAGACCAAAGAGGGGGACCUUCGGGCCUCUUGCCAUCAGAUGUGCCCAGAUGGGAUUAGCUAGUAGGUGGGGUAAUGGCUCACCUAGGCGACGAUCCCUAGCUGGUCUGAGAGGAUGACCAGCCACACUGGAACUGAGACACGGUCCAGACUCCUACGGGAGGCAGCAGUGGGGAAUAUUGCACAAUGGGCGCAAGCCUGAUGCAGCCAUGCCGCGUGUGUGAAGAAGGCCUUCGGGUUGUAAAGCACUUUCAGCGAGGAGGAAGGUGGUGAAGCUUAAUACGUUCAUCAAUUGACGUUACUCGCAGAAGAAGCACCGGCUAACUCCGUGCCAGCAGCCGCGGUAAUACGGAGGGUGCAAGCGUUAAUCGGAAUUACUGGGCGUAAAGCGCACGCAGGCGGUUUGUUAAGUCAGAUGUGAAAUCCCCGGGCUCAACCUGGGAACUGCAUUUGAAACUGGCAAGCUAGAGUCUCGUAGAGGGGGGUAGAAUUCCAGGUGUAGCGGUGAAAUGCGUAGAGAUCUGGAGGAAUACCGGUGGCGAAGGCGGCCCCCUGGACGAAGACUGACGCUCAGGUGCGAAAGCGUGGGGAGCAAACAGGAUUAGAUACCCUGGUAGUCCACGCUGUAAACGAUGUCGAUUUGGAGGUUGUGCCCUUGAGGCGUGGCUUCCGGAGCUAACGCGUUAAAUCGACCGCCUGGGGAGUACGGCCGCAAGGUUAAAACUCAAAUGAAUUGACGGGGGCCCGCACAAGCGGUGGAGCAUGUGGUUUAAUUCGAUGCAACGCGAAGAACCUUACCUACUCUUGACAUCCAGAGAACUUUCCAGAGAUGGAUUGGUGCCUUCGGGAACUCUGAGACAGGUGCUGCAUGGCUGUCGUCAGCUCGUGUUGUGAAAUGUUGGGUUAAGUCCCGCAACGAGCGCAACCCUUAUCCUUUGUUGCCAGCGGUUCGGCCGGGAACUCAAAGGAGACUGCCAGUGAUAAACUGGAGGAAGGUGGGGAUGACGUCAAGUCAUCAUGGCCCUUACGAGUAGGGCUACACACGUGCUACAAUGGCGUAUACAAAGAGAAGCGACCUCGCGAGAGCAAGCGGACCUCAUAAAGUACGUCGUAGUCCGGAUUGGAGUCUGCAACUCGACUCCAUGAAGUCGGAAUCGCUAGUAAUCGUAGAUCAGAAUGCUACGGUGAAUACGUUCCCGGGCCUUGUACACACCGCCCGUCACACCAUGGGAGUGGGUUGCAAAAGAAGUAGGUAGCUUAACCUUCGGGAGGGCGCUUACCACUUUGUGAUUCAUGACUGGGGUGAAGUCGUAACAAGGUAACCGUAGGGGAACCUGCGGUUGGAUCACCUCCUUA